UGGAUUAAAUUAUUUCGUGGAUUGGAUUUCACUUGCCUGUCUAUGGUUUCCUUGUGUGUGCUUGGGAUAGGUGUCCUUUAUAAAUGUUUUGUCGUAUUAUUAUGUAUUCUCUUUUAG
rnacentral:rRNA from 1 species